rnacentral:rRNA from 1 species
UUAGUUGGGCACUCUAGCGGAACUGCCGGUGACAAACCGGAGGAAGGUGGGGAUGACGUCAAGUCAUCAUGGCCUCUAUGUCCAGGGCUACACACGUGCUACAAUGGCCGGUACAAAACGCUGCUAACUCGCGAGAGGGAGCCAAUCGGAAAAAGCCGGUCUCAGUUCGGAUUGGAGUCUCUGCUCUGAAACUCCAUGAAGUUGGAAUCGCUAGUAAUCGCAGAUCAGCACGCUGCGGUGAAUACGUUCCCG